CGAACCGUGAAAGCGUGGCCUAUCGAUCCU
rnacentral:snRNA from 1 species